rnacentral:tRNA from 1 species
CAGGGGCUGGCCGACGACGGCUACGGCGACAUCUUCCUCAUGGUCGACGGCUGGGGCACGCUCCGGGCCGAGUUCGAGAUGCUCGAGCCGCAGA